rnacentral:lncRNA from 10 species
GCCCUACAAAGCUGACAGGGCCUCUGCUUUAUAGGUCUCAUUGGGAUGACGUUCAUGCAUUAAGUGGUUUUGGACUUGAAUUUAAUCUGUCUUAGAAGGAGGAUACAUUAACCUUGCUUGAGUCAAUGAACUGAUGGCUCCAGAGAGCCAGCUGCGGGAGGAUGAAUUAUGGUGUAGACUUGAAAAGUUAUCCGACCCACGGCCCGUGGGCUGCAUGCGGCCAGGAUGGCUUUGAAUGUGACCCAACACAGAAGGAGACAUGCAUACAAGGAGAAUGCCAGGUGAACGUGAAGACCAUCAUUUGCAAGCCAAGAGAGGCCUGGAGCAGAUCCUUCAGAGCCCUCAGAAGGGACCAACCCUGCUGGCACCUUGAUUUUGGACUUCCAGCCUCCAGAACUAAGAACUUGAUGUAUACCUCCUGACCUGUUCAUCUUGUAGCUGCCUCUUGACAGCACAUGUUGGCACCUUUAGAAAGAUCUAGAAAUCCACGUGUUGUACGUAAAUCUGGGGCUGUUGUUACUGCAGAUGUACCUUCCACAACUUGAUUUUCUGUGAUGUCAAUUAUUCAGACUUGUGACUGCUUUGCCCAAAAAAGCAUGAUGGAAGUGAUGCCAUGAGGCUGUUACUGAGGCUGGAUCACAAGACCAUGCAGCUUCUGCCUUAUCACUCUUCAGCCCUGAGAUUCCAGGUUACUCGAAGGACAUCUUCACAACCAGGCUACUAGAGAGUACAGACAUCUCUGCACAGAGAAAGGACUGCAACCUGGAACAAGGAGAGACAAAGGGAAGGAGGAGUCUGGAGCCAUAUUGAAGAUGAAAUUGAGAUAUGGACUAGGUGGUGGAUCGUUUUUAUAAGAGGACAUAAAAGAGGAUGCUAAAGCUAAUUGCCACAAUCAGAACUCAAAGACCUAGCAAAUGCAAGGUGGUAUUUAUUCUAAACUCAGCAAAGUAGUAGAAAAAUAGUUUUGAGAACAGUUUUAAGGAGACUAGGGUAACAGUGAGAAAAUAGUUCAUGGCUAGUCUGGACUUAGGACUUUAGGGUCGGCCUGGUGAAUUGAAGGGAAGCAGCUGAUACACUCUGGUUGCCUUGUACCCUGGCUUUUGGUGCUUUCCCAUGUGCUGUAGUCAUCAGUAAUCUGGAGGAAAUGCUAUAGAGGCAAAGACACCAUUAGAUGGGUGCUCAACUAGCAAACAGGAUGUGACCACAGAGUAGUUACCCCAAGACCAGGUCAGCAUGACCCAAAAGGCAGAAGAGGACAAGGUUUAUGAGUGUUGGGCUGAGCUCACGCCUGCUUGAACAUCUCAAGAACAAUGUUAAUGAUGGAAGAGAGAGAUAGGAGAGGAAACUCAUUAAACUUGCCAAAUAUGAGAUGUAGCUGGGUUGGCUCUAUGUAAGCAUGGCAGAAAAGCAUUUAGAAGUCAUAAUACAUUUAAAAUAAGAGCUACCAGCAUAGCAGUGACAUGAAGAAGGCAUGUGUUUUGUUAAAAAGUUUUAAAUACUCCUAUAAAAGAUAGUAAGGUACAAGUUGUUUGCUUGAUCAGCAAUGCUAAUUGCCUUUGAAGUGCAUGCCUGGGGAUUCCAUGGAGAGAGGACCCUGUUUCUCCACCCCAACCCAAAUUCACUGAGUUUAUGUCAGAAUGUUCAGAAGCCCCUUUACAAAUUCCUCUGAUUGCCUUGUUAGACACUGGCCACCUCCCUGAACCUGGGCCAAGAUGAGGGUCUACACCUUGGCUUAGUUCUACUAUGAAAGACUUUCCUGCAGUAAAAGUUACCUGUCUGAAACAUUCAGAAGAGUGAAAAUGCCACAUCUCCAAUUUCCAGCAAUAUAUUUGUCUGCCAUGAUUUGGCCUGGAAGCUUAAGCAGGAAGACCACUUGGAGCCAGACUUCAGAGUGAUCUGUCUCUAAGGAAUAACUUUCAUAUUGCAGCGUUCGGUUUUGCAAUUCUUCCUAAGCUACUCUAAAUUCGCAGCAUAAAUCUGCAGAAAGACUUCACCCUCCACAUCAAACCCUUAUAAGGAUCCAUUUCUGCUCUCAUUUUAGAAUAUCUUUUCUAAUAGCUAAAGGCAGACAGAGGCAAACCAAGAAAUCCAGACUUUGCAUCAACGGGUUAAAUCAUAUGUCAAAGGUGCAACCAUAACGUAUUACAAGCUUCUCAUCACAUAAUACAUCACUCAAGAAAAAAUAUUUGGGCAGCUUUUCUAAUUCAUCUUCCUGGUGUUAAAGGAGCACAUCUCCAGUGUUCGUGUCUUCUGUUUCAAUUAAAGCAAUCAUGCCUACUCUUUUAGGAAACUACUAAGGUUUAUUACCUCUUUGUUUCACUGCUAAUAUUCAGCUUCUCCUUGUGGUCUCCCCUUCCAAAUACAUAUUUUUUUCUUUCUAUCCGGUUUUGCUUCUCACCACAAUAUACACUUGUGGCUAUUGUUUGAUAAAAUGGCCACUAUAAAGAUGUAACUUGCUUAACAAAUAUCAGCAAGUGUUUAUGGUUUCCUGUGUACUUGAUGCACUGAGUGGGUGGAAGUGGGUAAGAGAAAGAUGAGGUGGUUCAUGUUCCCAGUAGGAAGAGAGAAUGUCAAUACUCAAAAUAGCUAGAAAACAAUUCACCAUCAGUAUUGAGACAGGCAUUUCAUUACUGUAUGGGUAAUAAUUAAGAAAUUUAAAAUAAAAACAUUGGCCCUCGUAAUUAAGAAAGUCUUCCUGGAGAGGAGUGUAACACAUUUCUUAUAAGUGAAGAAAGGGUAAAGCAUUUCAGGCAUAGAGAAUGGCCUGAACAUACAGGGAAGAAGGAAUAGGGAUGUGAGUAAAGGAGUAGAUGGAGCUCGUCCGAUCAAAGGAGAGAGACUCUUCUGGUGAGAGAGUCAGGAGUGGGAGCUACUGAUGGUGACUUUGACUGCAGGAUGAAGAGGCACAGAUUUGAGGCAGGGAUUUCUGGAGGUUUUCUAACAGAAAAAAAUGCAAUGAAAGGAAGGGUAUGUGGAUUUACCCAGCAAUGAUGUACAGGACUCCCUGGGAGAGGAGACAGCAAGAGAAUAAAAUCAUAGGUAUUUGGACCAGAUGCCCAUUAAUGUUCCUUCCAAUCUAUCCUGAGCAACAUAAUUACAUGAUUUUAUGCUAAGGGAGUUGAGCGAGAUAAGACAGAGCUAGAGGUAGAGACAGUGACACAGAGACACUCAAUUGGAGGUAUCUGUAAAGAUGUCUUAGAAGAAAUGACAUUUAAAUGUGUUUCAUGGAGAUGGUUGAAAGAGACAUUGUAGGCAUCAAGAAUAGCAUAAACAAAGGAAUAGAAGGAUAGGAAAGUGGAGGGCCAUAUGGGGCAAGCUAGAAGUUCAGAUGUUUUUGGAGUGGCAUGUCAAAGGAAUCCAGAAGUAGGCUAGAAUGGGGAGUGCAAUGGAUUAAAUAUUCGUGUCCCCUCCAAAUUCACGUGUUGAAAUCUAUUUCCCAGUGUGAUAGUAUUUGGAGGGUAGGACCCUCAUGAAUGGGAUUAGCCCUUAUAAGAAGAGGCCACAGAGAUAGCUUGCUCUUUUUCUAUCAUGUCAGGAUACAAUAAGAAGUCAGCAGUCUGCAACCCAGAAGAGGACCCUCACUGGAACCCAGGAAUGUUGGCACUCUGAACUUAGAUUUUCCAGCCUCUAGAAUGGUGAGAAAUAAAUUUCUAUUGUUCAAGCCACCUAGUUGUUAUAGCAGCCCAAGCCAAUUAAGACAGGAAGGAUACUGGGUGUUAGCACUCAGAGGUGUAAGGAGUCUGAACUCAUCUCAACCAGCUUCCACCACCAUAAUGGAGGCUCUCUUUCUAAUAUUUAUUGUUAAGUAUUGUCUAGCCUGUUCUUGAACACUGAGGUUCAUAGGAAGCUCACUAGCUCCCAAGAAAAUCCAUGCCAUUGAAGAAUAAUUUUAAUACUUAGAAAACUCUUCAUACUGCUCUGAAAUUUGUCUGCCAAUACUCUACUCAUUCAUUCCCUUUCCAUUCCAUUCCAUACUCUACUCAUUCAUUCCCUUUCCAUUCCAUUUAUAAGCAGGAGAGGUAUCAGCUUAUAAAAACCUGAAUGCCAGAUACUGGGUGGAGGAGUUUGAGCUUAAAUCUGAGAGCAGUAGAUCUAGCAAUUCUGAGUAAACUUCUCAGCUUAACUGAGGCAUUAGAAGUCCCUGAAGUUUUUUUUUUUUAUGUAGGAAAACAACAGGAUUAUUUCCAUCUUAAGGAAGACCAACAUGGCAGCUGUGUAGAAAAGAAAGCCAAGUUAGAAAGAAUGUUUUGGAGACAAGACAUUGUGGAAGGAUAGGUGGAAAAAUCUCUAACGUGAAUGCUUAGCUGCACUAUUGAGCAAAUCCUAGUUAUUUUUUGGGACUCAGUUUUCCCAUUUCAAAAAAUGAGACAGGUUCCCUCAAAGAAUCUUUCCAAUUCUACUAUCCUGUGGUUCUGAGUUUUCAGAGCUAAAAAGGGCAUUUUCAAAGAUGGGAGAGUUUGCAUUAUUGUAGGUAAAAGCAGAGUGGGCCUGAAAUGGGAAUGGAAAAGUGUUGAAUCCGAAAAAUAUAGAGAAGACACAGAAGGCCAAGAUGAGAGCUUGGCUGUUUAGGCCAAAAGGGAAGCAAGAAUUAAUCAUAACUCAAUUCCUGGGUUAUGGGGCAAGGAUGAGUCUUGGUGCUUUUGACCUUAAAGAGGACUUUUUAAAGCAAAACUAGCUGGGAAAGAGGAAGAUUUAACACAUGGAAUUUGAAAACAUUGUAGGGCAAUAAAGAAGACGGAAAUGUGAAUGAAAGGCUGGGGUAAGAGGUGUAGGUAGUUGAGUCAUGGUUGCAGAGAUUUUGUUGGAAGUCUUGGGACAGAUGGUGUUUCUAAGAGAGGGAGAGGAAUAAAAACCACAGAGGAUUUUCAAAGUGUGAGAAUGGGAGAUGCUAUUAGAAGGGAGAGAGAAGGAGCAGUCAGCUGGGUGGUGAGAGAGAGGCUUCACAGAAGGAAAGGAAGGAAACAAGAAAAGAAAGGAGGUAUCCAAUUUGCAGCAGGGGAAGAGGAGGGAGGUUCAAGAGGAUAAGAACAAAAAAGCCAUUUCUGGAAAUGGCUAAAAGAGAAUACUUUCAGUGAAGUAAUAGGACUGUGAGUUAGUCUGUUUUGUGCUGCUGUAAAGGAAUACCUGAGACUGGGUAAUUUACAAAGAAAAGAGGUUUAUUCGGCUCAUAGUUCUGCAGGCUGCACAAGAAGCAUGGUACCAGACUCUUCUUCUGGUAAGGGCCUCAGGCUGCUUUCACUCAUGGCAAAAGGCAAAGUGGAGCCAAAGGGAAGUCAUAUGUUCUUGCAGAUCACACUGCAAGAGAGGAGGAGGAGGAGGAAGGAGGAGGAAGGUGGAGAAGGAAGGAGGAGGAAGGUGGAGAAGGAGGGAGAAGGAGGAGGAGGGAGAAAGAGAAGGAAGGGAGGUGCCUCAGGCUCUUUUUAACAAUCACUUCUCAUGGGAGCUAAUACAGCAAGAACUCGUUAUCUUGAGAACUCAUGACCUAAACACCUCCCAUUAGGUCCCACCUCCACAACUGGGGAUCGAAUUUCAACAUGAGAUUUGGAGGGAACAAAUAUCUAAACUAUAUCAGGCUGGAAAUCAAUUAGUAAAGAAUUUUUAAAGGCAUUCAUCCAUCCAACAGAAAUUCAUUAGCCUCUUAGGGGCCUGGUACUGCUCUAGAUACAGAGAAUACAGCAGUAAAGAAGACACUUGAAGGGAUAAACAAGAAAAAUGCCAGGUGGAGAUUUACAACAGAGGGACAUGACAGACUGGUGGGCACUGUCAGCAAAGGUACCAGCCAGUGCAGGCCCUAAGAUGGAAAUAGGUUGAUAAUAUACAAAGAAUAGAAGGAAGAGCAGUGUAUUAGAGUGUAGAGGUAGUUCCUGAGAACAUUAUGAGAUUAUGUCAAAAAGAUUUCAGGGUAAAGAAUUUGAACUGCAUCUCAAGUGUGUUUGUAGUUUUGUUGGGAAGUGAUAGUUUUAAGCAAGGGUUUGACAUGAUCUGAUUUACUCGAAAGGGUGUCUUGUCUGUUUCCUUGAAAAUGACUACAGAGAAAUGUAGGUGGAGGCAGGGGCCCAUUGGAAAGCAUUUCAAUAGUCCAGAUAGGAGCUGGCAGUGGUCUGCACUAGGGUGAUUGUGGUGGAAAUGAAGGGGAGAGGAAAGACUGGAAAUGUGUUUUGGAAGAAGUAGAAUUGAUAGGAUUUGCUGAUGGCUUGGAUGGAGGAAAGAGGAAUAUAUUAUAUUUAAAUCUUUAAGCCACAUACAUUGAUUUGAUCAAAAUUAACAGGACAAAUACAAAUCAUCAUUUUCAGUUCAGUUUCAUUUAAUCAUUAUCAGUGGAGCUCCUACUAUGUGUAAGAUAUAAUUUCAGAUUCAUUCAUUUGAUAAACAUUUAUGGAACACUGACUAUACCCCAGGUACUGUGCUGGGUACUAAAAUCUGGAGCAAGAUGGACACAGUCCUUCCCUCAGAGGUCUUGAGGUUGAGUGAGACAGAGAAAUCAUCAAACAGUGAGUGCAUGCAUGCACAUCAUGAGAAGGGCCAAGAGGGAAAAAGACAAAAUGGCUUUUAGAAUAAAAACAGACAGAUCUCAUCUAGCUUGUGUUGGCUGGAAGGCUCCCCUGAGAAGGUGACAUUUGGGCUGUCUGAAGGAUGAUGGCAGUGAGAACAUCAUGUUUAAAAGUCCUGUGGUAGGAAGAAACAUUGUCAUUCAAGGAACAGAAAGAAGGCCAGUGUGCCAGAAGCCUAGAGAACAAGCAAGAGGGGGAUGAUGUGAUGGAGUGGGCAGUCAGUGGCCAGAUCACACAGGGCCACGCUGACCUUUCUAUGGGAUUCUGGUUUUUAUUCUAAGGGCAAGGAGAAGAAGGUGAUGUGAUUAGAUUUUUUAAAUUUUCUUUGGCUGCAGAGUUAAGGACAGAUUUGGUCUUCACAUUUAGGGUCUCUAGGGGAACAAGUGGAUUGGGAAAAUCUGAGUCAGAUGGGCUGCCAAGGGGAGGAAGUGAAGACCAAGGAAAACUGGAGAUCUGUUAGAAGGCAAUGAGAGAGAAUUUCAUGCUCAACAUGCACCAACACAGAUGUCAUGGUUGCCUUUCCAUGUCAACACAUCUAGAAAGACUACACGUUUUUUCUGCAGCUACGUAACAUUCAACUGUAUUGACAGGUUAUACUUUAAUAUUUACCAUCUCUCUAUGGGUGGUCAUUUAAAUUGUUCCAAUUUUUUUACUAUGGCAAACAAAACUUUUUUUGGAACAUACCUCAACAUUUAUCUUAGCUCUUGAGGGACACAUAGAGGUAAAAAUGCCAGGUCAGAGUGCAUGAGCAUUUUAAGUUUUAAUAGAUGAUGACAAAUUGCCCUGAAAAAUGUGAUGCCAAUUUUGAGCAAUAUUUUAAGAAAUAAUGUUGAGCUAAUGUGUCAGAUCUAGUAAGUCCAGAAUCACGGCAGCAAGGAAGGAUCCAGUACAGUGAUCCAGGGGAGAGGUGUUGAGUUCCUGACCUCCCAUGAUGGACUCUUUUGGAGUUUGCUUCCAAGUGGGAAAUCCUCAGAUGGGCAGUGAUUGUCCUUCGGCCAACAAAUCCUCCUGGACAGUAAAUUCCUGAACUUCUGCUGCACAGGCCAUAAGGAGAGGAGUAGAAGUCUUCUGAGAAAGUGGUUGUUAGAAGCCAGAAUCCCAGCUCUAGAAGGGAAACUCCAUGAAUGAUGGCACCAUGAAUGUCUUGUUCAGUAUGGAUUCCUCAGCAUUAAUAGGGAUCAGUAAAUAUUUGUUGAAUGAAUAAAUAAGAGUCCUAUUAAUUGACCUUAUUGUGUCCAACAAAAGUUACAUUUCCCCACUGUAGUGAAUUGUUGGCAGCAUCACUCUUUGCUGUAUACCAUUUAGAAAAUAUAACAUUAGUUGAUUUUCUACUUUUACCCCUCCUUUUAUGUCUCCAAAGAGACAGCAUCUCCUUUACCCAUCUUGGCUAUGAAAUCUACUAUCUUUUGGACUUUGUCAAAUUAGAGACUGAAAAACUCGAGCAGGUCUUUUUCUCUGCACAAUGUAUCAAAACACAUUUCAUAUGCUAUGCAGCACCCCUAACUAAUUUUCACCAAGUGUAUUUUCUCUGGGUCUAGACCUCUUCAUACUUUACCAUCAAAAUGUAUUUAGUCAGCCUUAUGAAGAUGGGCAAAGAUCUUUGAAGCCUUGGAGUAAAGAAUGUUGUGUUUGCUUUCGUGGAGUUGUCCUCAUACUGAGAUAUGGUAGAAGUAGUUUCCUUGAUCAGCCUCGGGAAAAUGGGACAGGUCUGUCUCUGGAGCUCUGUGUGUUUUUUUCCUUUGCAGCAAAAAUACUCAUCUCUCAUUUGAGAGCUGAUCAGUACAUUGGCUGCAGCCAUUCCUCCCAGGUUUUCCAGAUUGAUCAAGCAGUACAUGUUUGAUGAAUUAACCAUGACCAGUCAGCUAUUGGCUCUUUGGGGCAUUUAAAUCUACAAAAUUUAGUAGUUAGCAGGACACAAAUAACAAGAGUCCUGAGAUUUGUGGUUUGUCCAUCUCCCACUUCUGGGGCCUCUUAUUCUUAAUCUGUAAAGCAAGGAUUUGAAUGUUCACCCUCACCUAACUCCUGGAUUCAUGAGUUUUCAGCCUCCACUUCUCCCUGCCCACGCUGAUAUGGAGAAGGCUGAAGAAAGAAGAAGGGAAGGAAAAGAGCAAAUCCUUUGUUGAUCUGAGAAGUCAUCAUAAAAGUCCUGUACUUGUAGAAGAACUGCAUACAACUUUUCCAAAUAAAGUAAAUCUAGCUUUUAUGUUUUAUUUAUUAGGACAACACAGAUUCCCAUCUCAGUUUCAACAGUCUGCCAAAUGUCAUUUUUUUCCCUAAAAUCAAAGUUCAUCAUUGCUUGAACAUUGGAGGGCUCUAAAGGUCUUGAUUUUAUUGUACUUAAAAAAUUUUAAGCAAAUCUGUGCUAACAACAUGUUGACAUAUUAAAAAGCUAUAGUUAUUAAAACAGUGUGGUAUUGGAGUAGGAUCAGAUAUGUAGAUUAAUCAAACAGCAGAGAGAGCUUGUAAACAGAGCCAGGUAUAUGUGAAAAAUUUAGCUUGUGUCAGAGACAACAUUGCAAACCAAUGAAGAAAGGGUAGAGAAUGGCUGUAUACCAGAGAAAAAAUAAAAUGAGAUUUCUAUCUUAUAUCAUAUACAAACAUAGACUCCAGAUAGAGUAAAGGUCCAAAAUGUAAAUAAUGUAAUUUUAUACCUGUGAGAAAAAAAUGCAUAAGUAUCCUUGGGGUAGGGAAAGCUUUCUUUAACAAGAUACAAAAUACACAUACCGUGGAGGAAAAGGUACUGAAAUCUGACAGUAGCAAAAUUUCACCCCUUUUAUGGCAAACAAAACCAAACAAAUCCUCGACCCCAUUACAAACAAGGUUAAGACAAUUGAGUAAGACAUAUGAUGCUUUUUUGCUUUAAUAAAUAAAUGGUGAGAAAACAAAAGGGAUGAGUGUUGUUAGGGACAAAAAGAGACUUAAGAGGCACAGUGACCAAAUAAAACACAGGGACAUCCUUUGGAUUCUAAUUCAGAGAAACCCAGUGUGAAAGAAUGUUUGUGGGUCAGCUGGGGAAAUUUGAAUACUGACUGGUUAUUAAGAAAUUGUAAGAAAUAGUUAACGUUCAAGGCAUAAUAAUGAUAUUGUGAUAAUUUUUAAAGAUUUGUGUUUUUUAGAGGAACUACUGAAGUAUUCAUGAUUAAAAUUUUACAGUGCCUGGCAUUUGCUUUAAUCCAGCAGGUUUGUG